GGUCUGCCCUUUACUUUUUCAUGGGGCUACCAUUCAGUCAAUUUUAAAGCUGUAAUUCUUUUUUCAGGGUUGCCAUGGAAACGGGUUAGUGUUCCAGUGCUGCCUUGCGAAAACGAGCCGAGCGCUCGUCUGCCCCGGGGGGGGCCGGGGGCGCUGCCGGCGGGGCCUGCCGCAGAGCCCCGCGCUGCGCUACCUCCUCCAGCACCACCACGCGCUUAGUACCUUCUAUCUGCCUAGUGACACCAGAAGAGACGCUGUGAAGAUCAAGAUUACCUGGAAGGCACACUGAAUUCAUCAAAUAGAAGUAGGUAGCUACAGUAUUACCGCAGUUCUGACGCCUGCUCUCAGCGGUAAAUACUGUGGCUUCCUAAAUCACUGCUGCUGAAAGGCUCUUCCCAGACUGGGGUCUCAGCAGGACACAGGUCGAGGGUGCCCCAGCUCACCUCUGAAGAGGGUUUGCUGCCGCCUCUUUAGCCGCCCGUCCGCCAGCCCAAGGUGAAGGCGAAGCCAGGAGGCCGCUGUCUCACCUAAGGCUCAGACUGAGGCGCUGCCGCCGCAGGCGGGCACGGCCGGGCGCCGUCGCUUGUUUGCUUUACUGCGGGGCGUUAGUUCGAAGUCCCAGAAACACCCCCCCGCCCCUCCAAAAUAUGUUGUUGGUUUUUCUCUUUUGAUAAAAUAAAAGCAUAUUUCGGUGCA
rnacentral:lncRNA from 1 species